CACAGCAAUUGUUGAUUUGAAUUGAGAUACUCUGAGGCAGGUAGUGAUUGCUUUGCAGGGGAGCACUUGCUACUGGAUGGUUUGUUUCUCCUACUUAGUAUUACAUAAUGUGCUUUCUUCCAUUUUUACAUAUGAUCCUCACGGUGAGCAUGGAUGAUAGACUUUGUAUACAGAGAAAGAAAAUGGGACUCACGGAGGGUGAAUGACUUCCUGAAGAUCGCACAGCUAGAAAGUGGCAGAGCUGGGACUUAAAUUUAGAGUUCCUUGCUGCAAAUCUAGUGCUUGGUCAGUCUUCCGCACCAGGCAGCCUCCUGAGCUCUUAUAAAUCAAGUCAGGCUGAACUGGGAGAAUCUGGGAAGCCGGAUUGCAGAGCCCUCUCUGUUAACUCCCAAAGGAAAAUGAUACAGUUUGAGAGUAUGAGCUGAUGGUAGGACUCUGUCUUCUUUCUGACAUUAUCUUCAUGGAACAUUUUGGUCAUAUAGAGAUAAGAGAGAGUCCCAGAACGACGUCCAAAGGAAUUUCAGGACCACAAAGCCUGGAACCGUCAGAAAACAUUAGCCAUCUGGAUCACUGAACGAAAGCACUCCUUUGAAAUGUGAAGGAUUCUUAUAUGGAUGUCCACCCCACCCAGAAGGCCAUUGUUGUUGCUGGUAGGAGGUAAUCUACAAUUUGUUGCCUACACCACCGUGUUAUGCAUUGAUUCCUACAUCAAGAGAUGUGUGGGGUAUGUGCCAUUUUCCUCCUCUUUACAAAUGAGAAAAAUGAGUCUCAGAUUAAAUUACUUGCCCACAUUCAUGCAGCUAGUAAUGGAGAGAUGUGGAAUACAAAGCCAUAUUAUUUCUUAAUUCAAAUGCUGUGCUCUCAGCCACGACGCGAUCAUGACUCCAAGUAGACAUUUGCUGAUUGAAUGGAGUUGAAUCGCACUACAGGAGCGACUGUGGCUAAGAGCCAAAUGUCUAGUACAGACAGAAAUGUGCAGGAGUAGAGAAGGGUGGAUUGCCGGGAGAAAGCAUGGUGCUGUCACACAGGACCAUUGGUGGCCUUGCCAUCGGGUCAAGCAAGCAGUUGGUGCUGGGGAGUAUGGGGAGGGCACACGGGCCUUCCUAGGCAGUUCGAAAAGGAUGAGACUGUAUAGAAAAACUGACUUAAGAUGAACCCUGCCAAAAAGGGCUACUCCGUCACCAGCCCCGUCUGAGGUCAUAUUUCAAAGACUGGCUCAGGGCCACUGGCUGGGGUGCAGGGCUGUGAGAUCAUGGCUGAGCAAUCUGACUUUUAAAAAAUAUAAGGACCAACUUGGGAGUUUUAUCGCAGUUCUGCCGCCCAGGCAUGAAGUCAGCUGGCCUGCUCGUGACAGGGAGCGUUUCACUUGUAAUUAGUUGGGUGGUUUUUUUUUCUUUUUUCUUUUUUUUAAGUUCUGCCUAAACAGCGAUGUGGUGUGAGUGAGCCCGUUCCCUUGGAGCUGCCCCACAGCAGUAGCGGAGAUUUGACUCCAUGAAAGUGCAUUAUCGCAAUGUUGGCUUUGUGUGUAAGCAUCGUAUGUGUAUGUAAAAAUGUGGAAACUUCCUUAAUAAAGAGAUGUCCUUUUUGUACAUUUGCACUUGUGACAGACAAAGGAAUGAGGAAAAUGGGGUCCAAUCCUCAUCUAUAUGACUGGAGCAAGGACUUGGAAUGAGAACCCACAAAGGCUUAUUGACUUUCCACCCUGAAACUGGAUCUCGGAGCAACCAACCUGUGGACAAAUUGGAAUCUACAAAGCCACACGCUUCUUCAGGUAGGGAAGGGCGGAGGAAGAGAGGCUAAGUCUCCCUCCUGGAGAUCUUUGAUGGGUCAGAACCCCCCCUUAAAGAAACAGAGAGGAUUGGUUCUUGUUUACCAGCCAGAUAGCUCACUGUCUCCCCAGGGAGUACUAAGAGACCAGACGAGAGGCACAGUGUGUUCAGGGGAAAGCUCCCUCAUAGCAGUAACUAUUUAGAGUGGGGCAAACUUGUCCCUCAAAUGUUCCUCGUGUUUUCGUCAUAGUCAACCCAUAAUCAGUGUGGGAUGUGGCCAUCCC